UCUCUCUCUCUCUCUUUUUUGGUAUUUGAAUUAAAGUUGGUUGGGACCACCGACUUUGGUUCAAAAUGGGCUCACUUGGAUAGGUUCUUACAGUGUAAUCGUAAAUUAGAUUACGAUUUAUAUCAUUCAACAUACGAUCUGUACUAGCAUAUUAUGACUAAUGAUGGCUGAACAUCAAUCCUUCAGCCUAUCUAUCCAUAUCAUGGUUGAAUCUUACCUCUUUGGCCAAGGUUCUACACUUAACCAAAUUCGUCUACAUCCAGCAAAGGUCAUGUGGCUCCUAUUCGCUCUAUUUUUAUAAAACUUGAUCCAUAUGGUGCUUAUUCUCAACUGCUAACUGAAUUAUGAAGAUAGGUUUCAAAUAAUGUCCUACCUUAUUCUUCUUAGGAAUUGCCAUCUGUAUAGUCAUGCUUGGAUGUCAAAAUAUGAUAUAAACAUGAGUCCAUUUAAUAUGAGAGAGAAAAAGAGGAGAGAGAAAAAGAUAGGACCUUAUGCUUAUCCCACU
rnacentral:lncRNA from 1 species